rnacentral:rRNA from 1 species
CUUCCCCAGGCCAGUGGCCACUGCCACCAGUCAGGCAUCCAUAGGGGAGCUUUUGUGAGGUGCCUGGGGAAGGGUCAUCUAUUAAACUUUACAUUAACUUACAGUCUGAGAAGGCAAUGUGCCGAAAUUAUCAAAUAUGUUAAAACUUUCAACAACGGAUCUCUCACAUCUCGCAUCCUGGAAGAACGCAGCGAAAUGCGAUAAGUAAUGUGAAUUGCAGAAUUCAGUGAAUCAUCGAAUCUUUGAACGCACAUUGCGCCCUUUGGUAUUCCAUAGGGCAUGCCUGUUCGAGCGUCACUAAUAACCUCAUCACCAACUGUGUGGUAUUGGCAGAAGUGGGUAGGGCUAGCAUUGCUGGUCCCACUCUGCUGGAAUAAAUAGGCCGGAAAUGUAGACCACAGUAACAGGCUUUCAGAGUAUUUGAGAUACUAAACUAGUCCAUAGCUGGUCAGGAUCCAGGCCAUUGGACCCCCAUUCUGUGUAAAGCAGUAAGGUUGACCUCGGAUCAGGUAGGGAUACCCGUAUAGGGCGCC